rnacentral:tRNA from 1 species
GUUUUUAUAGUGUAACUAACACGUUGCAUUUUCGUUGCAAAACUGAAAUGCCCAAGUUUCUAAAAACU